rnacentral:rRNA from 1 species
UGCCUACGGGGGGCAGCAGUAGGGAAUUUUCGUCAAUGGGCGCAAGCCUGAACGAGCAAUGCCGCGUGAACGAGGAAGGUCUUCGGAUCGUAAAGUUCUGUUGAAGGGGAAAAAGAGCGGAGAGAGGAAAUGAACUCCGAUUGAUAUUACCCUUCGAGGAAGUCACGGCUAACUACGUGCCAGCAGCCGCGGUAAUAAGUAGGUGGCGAGCGUUAUCCGGAAUGAUUGGGCGUAAAGGGGGCGUAGGCGGCCUGCUAAGGCUGGCGUGAAAGGGACCGGCUCAACCGGUACAGGCUCUAGAAACU